GUGAAUCAUCGAAUUUUUGAACGCAAAUUGCACUCUCUUCGGAGAGUAUGCCUGUUUGAGGGUCAGCCUAAAAAAAAAAAUCGACAUAUUCGCUGUUUCGCGGUUACAUUCGUCGGAAAUUGGUUCAUCUUAAACUUUUGGUUUUUAAGUGGUUUAAAAUUUUUUUUUCUAUUCCCCGAACAUUUCUAAGAUUUACUUUUUUUCCGUUUAGGUAAUCGAUCUUUAUUAAACGUGCCC
rnacentral:misc_RNA from 1 species